rnacentral:misc_RNA from 1 species
AUUUAAUGAGAAACAAACCAAAAUUUAUAAAAAGUUACCGAAAAUUUAUAAAAAAGUGAAGGGAUUUGUAGAAAUUCAUGAAUUUCUGUGAAGAUUUGUAACUUUGAUCGAUAUUGUUAAUGUAAGUUAAGUUGAUUAUGUAGUGGAUUACAAUUUUAUAUGUAAAAAUUUGCUUGCUUUUGCGUGUUCCGAAUUUAAUUUUUGGUGGUUAGCUUCGGUCUCGCCAUCAUGUUCGCUCUUGUGUUUCUUUGACCAUUCUUGGGACAUUGAAUUGCCGAUAAGGAGAGUGAAUUAACUCCAGGAUUUAAUUGUCGAGCAAAUUCACAGCAUUUAUGGGGAUUCUGUGGACGUAAACGUUUUGGGUUGCGAUUGAUAUAGCAUUACGCUCUCUACAAUCUGGAAAACCAUAGCAUAAGUUUUUUUUGCUUUGUCUACUUUGGCUUUUGUGUUCUUCAACUCAAUUAAUAAAUUUUGAGAACUUAAUGAUUCGAAAUUUUGUUUAUUGGGCAUUUGGUAUGACCAUUGUUUAAUACUUCCUUUGAUUUUUUCCUUCUCACAGGACAUGCAAGACAUGAGAAAUUGCUAUGAUAGCUUACUUUCUG